AAUCCAGUUGAUCCUGCUGGCGGUUGCGGCUAUCUGGUUUGCAAUUAGACAUGCAAGUCUUUUUGUUUCCUGGAGAACCUUCGGGUCCUCUGACUCAAAGAACUUUGUUCUUUGAGCUUUGAAAUGAAAGGCGAACUGCUCAGUAACACGUAGCUAACCUACCCUCAAGCCGAGAAUACCCUCGGGAAACUGAGGCUAAUACUCGAUAGAUGAUAAAGGCUGGAAUGCGUUAUCGUCGAAAUUUUGCGUGAGGAUGGGGCUGCGGCGGAUUAGGUUGUUGGCGGGGUAAUGGCCCACCAAGCCGAUGAUCUGUAUGGGUUUUUAGCGAAAGAGCCCAGAGAGGGAAUCUGAGACACUAUUCCCAGCCCUACGGGGUGCAGCAGUCGGGAAUUUUUUGCAAUGCGCGCAAGCGUGACAGAGCGAACCAGAGUGCUUUCCCGUAUUGGGAAAGCUUUUGUCAGAUGUAAAUAUUCUGACGAAUAAGGACUGGGCAAGACUGGUGCCAGCCGCCGCGGUAAUACCAGCGGUCCAAGUCGCAACCACAUUUAUUGGGUCUAAAACAUCCGUAGCUUGCUAUGUAAGUCCCUUGUGAAAUCCGGCUUCUCAAGAGUCGAAGUGCAAGGGAUACUGUAUGGCUAGAGACUGGGAGAUGUAAGGAGUACGGAUAGGGUAAUGGUAAAAUAUGUUGAUCCUUUCUGGACUAACGAUAGCGAAGG
rnacentral:ncRNA from 1 species